rnacentral:tRNA from 1 species
GCUCUGAUAGCUUAAACCUUAAAGCAUUGUUCUUGUAAACCAAAGAUGGAUUUCCCCUUAGAGCA